rnacentral:rRNA from 1 species
UACGGAGGGUGCAAGCGUUUAUCCGGAUUUACUGGGUUUAAAGGGUGCGUAGGUGGAUAAGUAAGUCAGUGGUGAAAUCUCCGGGCUUAACCCGGAAACUGCCAUUGAUACUAUUUGUCUUGAAUACUUUGGAGGUAAGCGGAAUAUGUCAUGUAGCGGUGAAAUGCUUAGAUAUGACAUAGAACACCAAUUGCGAAGGCAGCUUACUACACAGUAAUUGACACUGAGGCACGAAAGCGUGGGGAUCAAACAGG